rnacentral:rRNA from 1 species
AGAUAAUAGAUACCCUGUAGUCCACGCCGUAAACGAUGGAUGCUAGCUGUUAUCAGUAUCGACCCUGGUAGUAGCGAAGCUAACGCGUUAAGCAUCCCGCCUGGGGAGUACGGUCGCAAGAUUAAACUCAAAGGAAUUGACGGGGACCCGCACAAGCGGUGGAGCGUGUUGUUUAAUUCGACGCUAAGCGAAGAACCUUACCAAGGUUUGACAUCUCGGGAAAGUCUCCGAAAGGAGACCGUGCCUUCGGGAACCCGAUGACAGGUGUUGCAUGGCCGUCGUCAGCUCGUGUUGUGAGAUGUUUGGUUAAGUCCCAUCAACGAGCGCAACCCUUGUAGUCUGUUGUAUUUCUCAGGCUAGACUGCCCCGGGUAACGGGGUAGGAAGGAGGGGUAUGAUGUCAGGUCAGUAUUACCCUUACACCUUGGGCCACAAACCACGCUACAAUGGCCGAUACAAACGGGUCUGCCAAGCAGCAAUGCGGAGCAAAUCCCAUCAAAGUCGGUCUCAGUUCGGAUUGUU